GAUGAAGAACGUAGCGAAAUGCGAUAAGUAGUGUGAAUUGCAGAAUUCAGUGAAUCAUCGAAUCUUUGAACGCACAUUGCGCCCGCCAGUAUUCUGGCGGGCAUGCCUGUUCGAGCGUCAUUACAACCCUCAAGCCCCCCGGCUUGGUGUUGGGGACCGGCCACCGGUGCCCUGCUGCUUCCGCGGCAGGCGCGCCCGGCCGCCCCCGAAAUGAAUUGGCGGCCCCGUCGCGGCCUCCCUCUGCGUAGUAGCACACAUCUCGCAGCUGGAGCGCGGCGCGGCCACUGCCGUAAAACGCACCAACUUUUUUUUACAGUUGACCUCGAAUCAGGUAGGAAUACCCGCUGAACUUAAGCAUAUCAAUAAGCGGAGGA
rnacentral:misc_RNA from 1 species